rnacentral:tRNA from 1 species
GGAAAAGUAUGCAAGAACUGCUAACUCUAUGCUCCCGUACCUAACAGCACGGCUCUUCCG